CGGUGGAGCAUGUGGUUUAAUUCGAAGCAACGCGAAGAACCUUACCAAAUCUUGACAUCCUUUGACAACUCUAGAGAUAGAGCCUUCCCCUUCGGGGGACAAAGUGACAGGUGGUGCAUGGUUGUCGUCAGCUCGUGUCGUGAGAUGUUGGGUUAAGUCCCGCAACGAGCGCAACCCUUAAGCUUAGUUGCCAUCAUUAAGUUGGGCACUCUAAGUUGACUGCCGGUGACAAACCGGAGGAAGGUGGGGAUGACGUCAAAUCAUCAUGCCCCUUAUGAUUUGGGCUACACACGUGCUACAAUGGACAAUACAAAGGGCAGCGAAACCGCGAGGUCAAGCAAAUCCCAUAAAGUUGUUCUCAGUUCGGAUUGUAGUCUGCAACUCGACUACAUGAAGCUGGAAUCGCUAGUAAUCGUAGAUCAGCAUGCUACGGUGAAUACGUUCCCGGGUCUUGUACACACCGCCCGUCACACCACGAGAGUUUGUAACACCCGAAGCCGGUGGAGUAACCUUUUAGGAGCUAGCCGUCGAAGGUGGGACAAAUGAUUGGGGUGAAGUCGUAACAAGGUAGCCGUAUCGGAAGGUGCGGCUGGAUCACCUCCUUU
rnacentral:rRNA from 1 species